rnacentral:rRNA from 1 species
UGGGGAAUAUUGCACAAUGGGCGAAAGCCUGAUGCAGCGACGCCGCGUGAAGGAUGAAGUAUUUCGGUAUGUAAACUUCUAUCAGCAGGGAAGAAAAUGACGGUACCUGACUAAGAAGCCCCGGUUAACUACGUGCCAGCAGCCGCGGUAAUACGUAGGGGGCAAGCGUUAUCCGGAUUUACUGGUUGUAAAGGGAGCGUAGACGGCUGUGCAAGUCUGAAGUGAAAGGCAAGGGCUCAACCUUUGGACUGCUUUGGAAACUGUGCAGCUAGAGUGUCGGAGAGGUAAGUGGAAUUCCUAGUGUAGCGGUGAAAUGCGUAGAUAUUAGGAGGAACACCAGUGGCGAAGGCGGCUUACUGGACGAUGACUGACGUUGAGGCUCGAAAGCGUGGGGAGCAAACAGGAUUAGAUACCCUGGUA